GUGGCACAGUACCUACGAAACAGUGAUAACAAGCUGUGGAGGGAUAGCCAC
rnacentral:misc_RNA from 2 species